UAGGGAAUCUUCCGCAAUGGGCGAAAGCCUGACGGAGCAACGCCGCGUGAGUGAUGAAGGUCUUCGGAUCGUAAAACUCUGUUAUUAGGGAAGAACAAAUGUGUAAGUAACUAUGCACGUCUUGACGGUACCUAAUCAGAAAGCCACGGCUAACUACGUGCCAGCAGCCGCGGUAAUACGUAGGGGGCUAGCGUUGUCCGGAAUCACUGGGCGUAAAGGGUUCGCAGGCGGAAAUGCAAGUCAGGUGUAAAAGGCAGUAGCUUAACUACUGUAAGCAUUUGAAACUGCAUAUCUUGAGAAGAGUAGAGGUAAGUGGAAUUUUUAGUGUAGCGGUGAAAUGCGUAGAUAUUAAAAAGAAUACCGGUGGCGAAGGCGACUUACUGGGCUCAUUCUGACGCUGAGGAACGAAAGCGUGGGUAGCAAACAGG
rnacentral:rRNA from 1 species